rnacentral:tRNA from 2 species
GGCGGCAUAGCCAAGUGGUAAGGCAAGGGUCUGCAAAACCUUCACCCCCAGUUCGAGUCUGGGUGCCGCCU